AAGUAAGGUGGUUGCUUAGCUUAGCAUACAGACUAGAAGCAGGGGGAAACGGCUAGCCUGGCUCAAGCUGACCUAAACAUCUCCUGGC